UAACACAUGCAAGUCGAGGGGCAGCAUGAAGUUUGCUUGCAAACUUUGAUGGCGACCGGCGCACGGGUGAGUAACGCGUAUCCAACCUUCCCUAUAGUAGAGAAUAGCCCGGCGAAAGUCGGAUUAAUGCUCUAUGUUAUUCAAAGCGGACAUCUAAUUUGAAUCAAAGGUUCACCGCUAUAGGAUGGGGAUGCGUCUGAUUAGCUUGAUGGCGGGGUAACGGCCCACCAUGGCGACGAUCAGUAGGGGUUCUGAGAGGAAGGUCCCCCACAUUGGAACUGAGACACGGUCCAAACUCCUACGGGAGGCAGCAGUGAGGAAUAUUGGUCAAUGGGCGAGAGCCUGAACCAGCCAAGUAGCGUGCAGGAUGACGGCCCUAUGGGUUGUAAACUGCUUUUAUGCGGGGAUAAAGUCGGCUACGCGUAGCCGUUUGUAGGUACCGCAUGAAUAAGGACCGGCUAAUUCCGUGCCAGCAGCCGCGGUAAUACGGAAGGUCCGGGCGUUAUCCGGAUUUAUUGGGUUUAAAGGGAGCGCAGGCCGGAGGUCAAGCGUGACGUGAAAUGUAGCCGCUCAACGGCUGAGUUGCGUCGCGAACUGGUUUCCUUGAGUGAGUACGACGUCAGCGGAAUUCGUGGUGUAGCGGUGAAAUGCUUAGAUAUCACGAAGAACCCCGAUUGCGAAGGCAGCUGACGAGUCCUUUACUGACGCUAAAGCUCGAAGGUGCGGGUAUCGAACAGGAUUAGAUACCCUGGUAGUCCGCACGGUAAACGAUGGAUGCCCGCUGUUUGCGAUAUAUUGUAAGCGGCCAAGCGAAAGCGUUAAGCAUCCCACCUGGGGAGUACGCCGGCAACGGUGAAACUCAAAGGAAUUGACGGGGGCCCGCACAAGCGGAGGAACAUGUGGUUUAAUUCGAUGAUACGCGAGGAACCUUACCCGGGCUUGAACUGCAGGAGAACGAUCCAGAGAUGGUGAGGCCCUUCGGGGCUCCUGUGGAGGUGCUGCAUGGUUGUCGUCAGCUCGUGCCGUGAGGUGUCGGCUUAAGUGCCAUAACGAGCGCAACCCCUUUCGCCAGUUGCCAUCAGGUGAUGCUGGGCACUC
rnacentral:rRNA from 1 species